ACAUGAGCAAAAUCUCAACUUUAUUAGAAGAGACGCAUUUAUUAGAUAAAAAGCCAGUUCAUGCUUUUACAGUAUGAAAAUUGGUGAUUUAUAAUAACUUAGCAAAUCGCAAAGUGAAAACAGGCGAUAAAUCAUUCAAGUUUCUGACCUAUCAGCUUUCGACGGUAUGGUAUUGGCUUACCGUGGCAGUGACGGUUAACGGGGGAUUAGGGUUCGAUUCCGGAGAGGGAGCCUGAGAAACGGCUACCACAUCUAAGGAAGGCAGCAGGCGCGCAAAUUACCCAAUUCUAACAGUUUGAGAGAGGUAGUAACAAGAAAUAACAAUACAAGGCAGUUAAAAUGCUUUGUAAUUGGAAUGAUAGAAAUUUAAACCCUUUUUAAAGUAUCAAUUGGAGGGCAAGUCUGGUGCCAGCAGCCGCGGUAAUUCCAGCUCCAAUAGCGUAUAUUAAAAUUGUUGCAGUUAAAAAGCUCGUAGUUGAA
rnacentral:rRNA from 1 species